GCUCUCGGGCAUCGGUUUCUCCCAGCAAAGCUUGGAGGGUUUAGCUGCGCGGAGAGCUCAGCGAGCUCUUCUGUGUCUGUUUGGGGCGUGUGGGCUCCGGGAGCGUGAGGACCGGGAAGCUAGGAGGCUCCUUCCCUUCUGGCGGCUCCCUCACUGAGACCGGGCGGUUUGGUUGCGGGGGAAGUGGAGACGAGCCACCCUUGACCUUUGACUGCAAGAACUCACCUUGAGCAGGAUAGAGCAAACAUUGAGUGGGCCAGACACUGUUCUGAAAAAUACGCAGUCGACUUUUGAACAGCACAGGCUUGAACUGCAUGCGGCCACUAAUACUCGGACUUCCUUCUGCCUCUGCCAUCCCUAAGACAGCAAGACCCACCCCUCCUGCUCCUCAGCCUACUCGAUGUGAUGAUGGAGCAACGUUCCUGCUACCACUUUCCUUGAACCUCACUUUUCUUGGAAGACUUCCCUGACUGCUCCCAGGUU
rnacentral:lncRNA from 10 species